rfam:Danio rerio chromosome 9, GRCz11 reference primary assembly.
AGCCACAGCCAUAUCACCCUGCAGCCCAAGACCGGUUACUCACUGAAGCUAAGCAGGGCUGAGCCUGGUUAGUACCUGGAUGGGAGACCACUAGGGAACACUAGGUUGCUGUUGGAA